rnacentral:tRNA from 4 species
UCCGAGAUCGUCUAAAGGUAGGACAGCAGCCUUUGAAGCUGUUUAUCCUGGUUCGAGUCCAGGUCUCGGAACAA